ACGGGAAAUAUUUCAUUGAGACUUCGGUGGAUUUGAUCUAUUUCUAGUGGCGGACGGGUGAGUAACGCGUGGGUAACCUGCCUUAUACUGGGGGAUAACAGCCAGAAAUGGCUGCUAAUACCGCAUAAGCGCACGGGGCCGCAUGGUUCUGUGUGAAAAACUCCGGUGGUAUAAGAUGGACCCGCGUUGGAUUAGCUAGUUGGCAGGGCAGCGGCCUACCAAGGCGACGAUCCAUAGCCGGCCUGAGAGGGUGAACGGCCACAUUGGGACUGAGACACGGCCCAGACUCCUACGGGAGGCAGCAGUGGGGAAUAUUGCACAAUGGGGGAAACCCUGAUGCAGCGACGCCGCGUGAAGGAAGAAGUAUCUCGGUAUGUAAACUUCUAUCAGCAGGGAAGAUAAUGACGGUACCUGACUAAGAAGCCCCGGCUAACUACGUGCCAGCAGCCGCGGUAAUACGUAGGGGGCGAGCGUUAUCCGGAUUUACUGGGUGUAAAGGGAGCGUAGACGGCGUAUCAAGUCUGAUGUGAAAGGCAGGGGCUUAACCCCUGGACUGCAUUGGAAACUGGUAUGCUUGAGUGCCGGAGGGGUAAGCGGAAUUCCUAGUGUAGCGGUGAAAUGCGUAGAUAUUAGGAGGAACACCAGUGGCGAAGGCGGCUUACUGGACGGUAACUGACGUUGAGGCUCGAAAGCGUGGGGAGCAAACAGG
rnacentral:rRNA from 1 species